rnacentral:snRNA from 12 species
UCGCUACAGUGGCAAAUAUACUAAAAUUGGAUCGAUACAGAGAAGAUUAGCAUGGCCCCUGUGGGGAAGUCGUGACCUAGUAGUUAGAGAGUUUGACUCCUA